rnacentral:lncRNA from 1 species
CGAGGGUUGGCGAUCCGGAGCAGGACGAUCGAAACCAAUAGAUGAAGAGUUUCGAUUUGUUGGGGAAUGCAAUUCUUUUGAUCCGUCUUUCCUAAGUUAAAGAUUUUAGGUAAAGUAAUCUAAAUCCUUGUUCUAGAGAAAGGUGAUCUGACCGAGAUGCCCGCUGUGAUGAUGUCAUGUGACGCUUCCUUUAGGUCAGGCCCGGGCGGUGCCAGUCUCCGCCGGGACAGGGGAUCUUGCUCCGCCUCGACGGCACCUCUACAUUGAAGCGGACGCCACCAACCGACGAACACGAUCUCGAAGGUAGACCACCGCCCCCGCCGCCGGCCUUCGUCCUUCCAUCACCCACUCCUGUGUCCCUCGCGAGCUUGGACCGCUCCCGCACCCGACGGCUUCCUUACUCGGCUUUUGGCAUCUCCUUGUCGCUUGAUGUUCCCUCUGUCUCCUACGACAGGUGAUGUGAAGAGAUAUGCGAAGGAGAAGACAGAGUUGAUCCAUGUCUUGGUAAAUGGUAGCAGACUAUGAGACCUUUCAAAGAUCACCCUGGUAAUCUCGACAUCUAUCAUCAAAGCUCUCCCUCCAUGACAGAUUCCACAAGCACAUUGCUAUCUCAGCAUAGCGUAACGUAGCAGAGAG